rnacentral:lncRNA from 1 species
CAGUCACGCACAUUAACUGAGAAGAGAUGUUUUUGUUUUAUCUGUUACUGACAUCUGUGUGUGUCGGUGGAGGGCUGGACUCUGGAAACAGUCCGGAGCACAAAAAUGAGAAGGUACAAGUCAGAAGAUCACAGAUCACACACUGAACCUGUAGGAUGGCUCCCGCGGUUUUACUCAUCGGCUGUCUGCUCACCACAAUCAGCUGCUUGACCACAGCUCAAACUACCACAUCAAUUAAUGCUGUUACUGCAUCACCUAAUGCAACUAACAACGCAACUAAUGUAUUGCCCAACGCAACUAGUGCAAAUUCCAUUUUGCCCAACGGGGCUAACACAUCACCUAGCACCACCAUGUUGCCCAGCGCAACCAACACGGCGCCCAACAUAGCCACCGCGGCGCCCAGCACAACCAAAACAGUGCCCAACACAGCCACCAUGGCGCCAAGCACAACCAACAUGGCGCCCAACGCAACCAACAUGGCGCCCAACACGGCGCCCAACACAGCCACCACGGCGCCAAGCGCAACCAACACGGUGCCCAACACAACCAACAUGGCGCCCAACACAACCAACACGGCGCCCAACACAGCCACCAUGUCAUCCAACGCAACCACCAUGGCGCCCAACACAACCAACAUGGCGCCCAACGCAACCAACAUGGCGCACAACGCAACCACCAUGGCGCCCAACGCAACCAACAUGGCGCCUAAUGCAACUACCACAUCACCUAAUGCGACUACAACGAAUGCAACAACUCCUCAGGCUCCAUUGUAUGGAAGUUGUGCGAGUCCAGAUCUGUGCUGCUCUGGAAGGAAUGACAGCUGUAACCGCUUGAAUUGUUUUUGUGAUGUUGCUUGUCUGAGAUUAAAAGACUGCUGCCCUGAUUUCAAACCCACCUGCCUCACAGGUAUUCAGAAAUAUUCAUACAAAACCCAUAUUUGAUUAAUCUGUGCUGAAAUCAGUCACUUACUGUGUGUUAAC